UACGAGAGGCCCAAACGUUAUUCGGAAUUACUGGGCUUAAAGAGUUCGUAGGCGGCAUUGCAAGUAGGGUGUGAAAGCCCUCGGCUCAACCGAGGAAUUGCGCUCUAAACUGCAGUGCUUGAGGAAGCUAGAGGUGAGCAGAACAGAUGGUGGAGCGGUGAAAUGCGUUGAUAUCAUCUGGAAUACCGGAGGCGAAGGCGGCUCACUGGGGCUUUUCUGACGCUGAGGAACGGAAAGCCAGGGUAGCGGAAGGACGGUAAGAUC
rnacentral:rRNA from 1 species